AGUGACAUCAAUAUGAUGCGUCUUACGAAAGUACUAGGAAGUCUGCAUGAUACUGCUUAUAAGAAAUUGACAUAGUCAUGCAUACCUCAAUUUGCUUAUGAGCAACAGCCAAAUGCAGAAUGUUGUGUCGAUCACCAUCCUUUGCAUUCAAGAACACGUGGUCCCAUCCAAUCGCCAUUAGCACCUUCAGAACCUCCAGCUGAUUAUGCUUCACACACAAAUGCAAAAUGUUUUCUCCAUUGAUCAUCGUUCCUAGAGCUGCAUGAGGCCUGACAUGUAUCAGUUCUUUGAUGACUU
rnacentral:misc_RNA from 1 species